AGUGAACGCUGGCGGUAGGCCUAACACAUGCAAGUCGAACGGCAGCACAGUAAGAGCUUGCUCUUACGGGUGGCGAGUGGCGGACGGGUGAGGAAUACAUCGGAAUCUACUUUUUCGUGGGGGAUAACGUAGGGAGACUUACGCUAAUACCGCAUACGACCUACGGGUGAAAGCAGGGGAUCUUCGGACCUUGCGCGAUUGAAUGAGCCGAUGUCGGAUUAGCUAGUUGGCGGGGUAAAGGCCCACCAAGGCGACGAUCCGUAGCUGGUCUGAGAGGAUGAUCAGCCACACUGGAACUGAGACACGGUCCAGACUCCUACGGGAGGCAGCAGUGGGGAAUAUUAGACAAUGGGCGCAAGCCUGAUCCAGCCAUACCGCGUGGGUGAAGAAGGCCUUCGGGUUGUAAAGCCCUUUUGUUGGGAAAGAAAAGCAGCAGGUUAAUACCCCGCUGUUCUGACGGUACCCAAAGAAUAAGCACCGGCUAACUUCGUG
rnacentral:rRNA from 1 species